rnacentral:rRNA from 1 species
CGCGUAGGUGGUCCUUCAAGUCAGAUGUUAAAUCUCCCGGCUUAACUGGGAGCUGUCAUUUGAUACUGCUGGACUCGAGGAUGGUAGAGGGAGGUGGAAUUCCCGGUGUAGUGGUGAAAUGCGUAGAUAUCGGGAGGAACACCAGUGGCGAAAGCGGCCUCCUGGGCCAUUCCUGACACUGAGGCGCGAAAGCGUGGGGAGCGAACAGGAUCAGAUACCCUGGUAGUCCACGCCCUAAACUGUGGAAACUAGGUACAGGGGGUAUCGACCCUUCCUGCGCCGUAGCUAACGCGUUAAGUUUCCCGCCUGGGGACUACGGUCGCAAGACUAAAA